UCAAGAAACUUCCACAAUGGGCGAAAGCCUGAUGGAGCGACGUCGCGUGAUGGACGAAGUGCUUCGGCACGUAAACAUCUUUUAUGUGGGAUGAAAUUAUUGACAGUACCACAUGAAUAAGGGGCUCCUAACUCUGUGCCAGCAGGGGCGGUAAUACAGAGGCCCCAAGCGUUAUCCGGAAUCACUGGGCGUAAAGGGUGUCGAGGCGGUUGUAUUAGUCGUUCGUAAAAUCUACGAGCUUAACUUGUAGGCGGCGAACGAAACGGUACGACUUGAGGUUUGGAGAGGUGCGUGGAACUCACGGUGUAGGGGUGAAAUCCGUUGAUAUCGUGGGGAAUACCAAAGGCGAAGGCAGCGCACUGGCCAAAAUCUGACGCUCACACACGAAAGCUAGGGUAGCGAAGAGGAUUAGAUACCCGUGUAGUCCCUGAGCGGGCUGGCAAGGCGCAU
rnacentral:rRNA from 1 species